AGGAUUGUAGCUCAGUGGUAUAGCCCCUGCCUUGCAAGCAGAGGGUCCCAGGUUCAACCCCUGACAUUCUAG